ensembl:miRNA
AGUAGAGGUAGGGUUUCACCAUGUUGGUCAGGCUGGUCUCAAACUCCUGACCUCAGGUGAUCCACCCACC